rnacentral:rRNA from 1 species
GUACUCCUACGGGGAGGCAGCAGUGGGGAAUAUUGCACAAUGGGGGAAACCCUGAUGCAGCCAUGCCGCGUGUGUGAAGAAGGCCUUCGGGUUGUAAAGCACUUUCAGUAGGGAGGAAGGUAGUGUAGUUAACACCUGCAUUAUUUGACGUUACCUACAGAAGAAGCACCGGCUAACUCCGUGCCAGCAGCCGCGGUAAUACGGAGGGUGCGAGCGUUAAUCGGAAUUACUGGGCGUAAAGCGCAUGCAGGCGGCUGUUAAGUCAGAUGUGAAAGACCCGGGGCUUAACCUCGGAAAUUGCAUUUGUAAACUAGGCAGGCUAGAGUCUUGUAGAGGGGGGUAGGAAUUUCAGGUGUAGCGGUGAAAUGCGUAGAGAUCUGAAGGAAUACCAGUGGCGAAGGCGGCCCCCUGGACAAAGACUGACGCUCAGAUGCGAAAGCGUGGGGAGCAAACAGGAUUAGAUACCCCUGGUAG